UGGCUCACCACGCCUCAUCUCAUGUUGGC
rnacentral:piRNA from 1 species